rnacentral:tRNA from 1 species
GAGUCUUUAGCUCAGUUGGUUUAGAGCGCCUGCUUGACAGGCAGGAGGUCGGCAGUUCAACUCUGCCAAGACUCA